AACGAACGCUGGCGGCAUGCCUAACACAUGCAAGUCGAACGAUACCUUCGGGUCUAGUGGCGCACGGGUGCGUAACGCGUGGUAACCCGUCAUUAGGCUCGGAACAACUUCCCGAAAGGGGUGCUAAUCCCGGAUAAUGACUUCGGAUCAAAGACUUCUCGCCUUUGGAUGGGCCCGCGCUGGGUUAGCUAGUUGGUAGGGUAAAAGCCUGCCAAGGCGACGAUCCAUAGCUGGUUUGAGAGGAUGAUCAGCCACACUGGGACUGAGACACGGCCCAGACUCCUGCGAGAAGCAGCAGUUAUGGAUAUAGGGCAGUGGGCGAGAGGCUGAUCCGGCGAGUCCGCGUGGAUGAUGAAGGCCUUAGGAUUGGAAAGCACUAUUACCCAGGAUGAUAAUGACAGUACCGGGAGAAUAAGCACCGGCUAACUCCGUG
rnacentral:rRNA from 1 species